AGGUUCUUUCUGCGACAUAUGUUUUCAUGGUGUGGGAAUAAGACUUGGUGGUCUAAUACAGCUAAUAUGUAGGUUAGCAUCACAGCUUGUCUGUAAGGAUUGAGGCUGGAAAUGGCCAUUGGAGCUGACUUUUUAUGGUUACUUUUACUGUGGCUGCAUGUAUGACUACCUGAUGUAACUGUGUAACAGUAAAGAAUGUAAAUCAGAC